CAUAGGGGGCCAAGGCCAACAUCACAGAGGGUUCCCUCUCUCAUUGUUCUCCUCUCUGACCGCAACUGACUUAACCAUCAGAGAGUUCCCCAUUGGAGAACCUCCCAUGGAUCUCUCUGGUGUGCAGACUUUUCUUGUAGGUGCCUGGAGGCCCGUCUGGCAUCCCCUCGCUCCAGCCUAGCUGCCGCCUUGUUGCGCCAACCCGUGCCACGUUGCCCCCGGU
rnacentral:lncRNA from 1 species